UACGUAGGGUGCAAGCGUUGUCCGGAUUUAUUGGGCGUAAAGAGCUCGUAGGCGGUCUGUCGCGUCGGAUGUGAAAACCCAGGGCUCAACCCUGGGCCUGCAUUCGAUACGGGCAGACUAGAGUACGGCAGGGGGAGACUGGAAUUCCUGGUGUAGCGGUGAAAUGCGCAGAUAUCAGGAGGAACACCGGUGGCGAAGGCGGGUCUCUGGGCCGUAACUGACGCUGAGGAGCGAAAGCGUGGGGAGCGAACAGG
rnacentral:rRNA from 1 species